UAGAGCAACUUAUGGGAGAAACACAGAAAAAGGAAAGAUCUUAAAAGAGUGGAUAUUUAGCAUUUAAGCUGCACUUGUCUCUCUUUUACUAUAGAAGAAGUGAAGGUCUCAGUGGCCGGGUCCUGAGAAAGCUUCCUUUCCUAGCACAUGCGCUUUAUAUUCAAUCCCCCAGUGUUACAAUGACAACGUUUCUUCAAGCUCUUUCACUUGCAGUAGACAAACAAUAUGAAGAAAGAAAGAAACUUGCAGACUGUGUGUGAUACUCUGCUGUUUUACAGUUGUCUGUAUUGUUAACACUGAAAACUACACAUUUUUCAUACAAACUGUGCAACUUCAAUGCAUCUGUAAAAAGGAUUGUCAACCCCUUCCAAAGAAAUGGAGUGCCUCAUCUAGUUUUUCAAAAUAUUCAUUAAUAAACAGUUAAGAAAUUUUA